rnacentral:rRNA from 1 species
UACGUAGGGUGCGAGCGUUAAUCGGAAUUACUGGGCGUAAAGCGUGCGCAGGCGGUUUUUUAAGUCAGAUGUGAAAUCCCCGGGCUUAACCUGGGAAUGGCAUUUGGGACUGCAAGGCUGGAGUGCGGCAGAGGAGACUGGAAUUCCUGGUGUAGCAGUGAAAUGCGUAGAUAUCAGGAGGAACACCGAUGGCGAAGGCAGGUCUCUGGGCUGACACUGACGCUCAUGCACGAAAGCGUGGGGAGCAAACAGG